rnacentral:misc_RNA from 1 species
GAUGAAGAACGUAGCGAAAUGCGAUACUUGGUGUGAAUUGCAGAAUCCCGUGAACCAUCGAGUCUUUGAACGCAAGUUGCGCCCGAAGCCACUAGGCCGAGGGCACGCCUGCCUGGGCGUCACACGCCGUUGCCCCCCCAUCUACUCCUUCGGGAUUGCGGGGGGGCGGAUGAUGGCCUCCUGUGCGCCUAGCCGCGCGGUUGGCAUAAAUACCAAGUCCUCGGCGACGCACGCCACGACAAUCGGUGGUUGCGAAACCUCGGUUGCCCGUCGUGUGCGUUCGUCGCGCAUCGAGGGCUCGAAAAAAUGCUCGGCUCCGGCUGGGCUUUCAACGCGACCCCAGGUCAGGCGGGGUUACCCGCUGAGUUUAAGCAUAUCAAUAAGCGGAGGA